GCUCCGGCGCACUCCAACCCCAUUGCUCCUCGUCGUGCCCCACUCCCUUAACGUUCUCCUCUAAUCCUCGGCCACCGCGAUGUCCUCCGCGCCCCGCAACAACCCUGGUCGCUGGUGCGGCUUCGCGGCUCCGGUCCGCUGGCCCACUACCCCUGCAUCUCCUCAUGAGCGCCCCUACCGGCCCGGGCUUGACGAUGGUAUUCCGCCUCUGCUACCUCGACUCUGACGUUGACUGUACUUCAGCUAGGGUUUCUGCAUCGUAUUACUCCGUCCAUUAUGAUUGGACAACACCGUGAUGAUAGUGAUUUCUUUGGAUGCCCAGCCAUCUUCUUCGCCAAUUGGUGCCUACAUCUCUCAUGUUCGUGUCUGAUUCUGGUGUUUAUUGAUUAGAUGUGAUUCACUAUGUGUCGAUCUGUACUACUUCUGCAUGAGCAGCAUGUGCACACCCUGUACUAAUUCUGGAUGAGCAUUUUGUGCAUACCCUGUCAUUCUUUAGGGUGAGAUUUUCUUGUUCCUAUGUAGAUCCGUACCAAUAUUUGUGUUUACUCUACUUAAUCCUUUUUACCAUCUACACCCAAUGGAUCUUAAAUUGUCUUUUACUUGAGUCAACAUGUGUGUGCUUAUGUUAUCUCUUAACAGGUUGAUCUACAACACUUAUUCAUUGCAACUAGGAGAAACCCAUGAAUGUGCAGAAGAAGCGCUGAGAAUUAUGUAUGUCAUUGUGUGUAUAACACAAUGAGGACUCUUCAACUAUUUCAUUUUACAGUAAGGAAAACUUAAAUUUGUAGCUUAUUACUUUUUGGUUGAUGUAAGAUUUGUUUUCCCUAGGGAAAAAGUAAUAUUUGUUUCAACUUCUUAUCCAGUGAAAUGUGCACACUAAGCUGACAUGGAACUAAUUCUUACACAUGUUAUGCAAUAUAAAAUGUUAUAAAUAAUUGAUAAAAAUUGAUGUGAUAUACAAGAACACAUAACCUUGAUAUUCUCGUCAUAUGUAUAUGACUCAUAUUCUUGAAAUCUCACCUCUAAAUUGAGUUUAGCGCAAUUCCUUUUUCAUUUUAAAAUACAAAUAAUUCUGAAUUCCUGCAAUCUUUGUGCUAAUUUUCUAAUUAGUGGGGAGGCACAUACGUUUCCAAACACUAGAAUGAUGCAUGACUGGUCAACACACAAUUUCUCGGCCAUGUGCCUCUCGCAUCUUAUCCUGUUUGUAAUAUGUUCUCCUCAAACUGUUAACGCAAUGAGCAUAUACUUGGUCCAUCCGAGAAUGUGAACAUCAAAAUUAGUCCUCUUAUGCACUCUGCUUCCCAGACAUGCAGGGCACACUAUGGUGUUGGUACGAUAUCAACAAUCAUUAAGCAGACGGCUAAGCAAUCAGAUACGGCCACUGUUAGGUAUGUCUAAAAAGAGACGCUCGAGACUGAGUUGUUUUAGAUGCCAAGUCAGAGUAGAUUUAAGUUGUUUCGGCCAUGUAUAGCAGGUCAUGGUCAUGGAACCUGGUGAUAUAAGGGUUUUUCCCUAAAAACAAGGUAUGUAUGUUUGUUACAAAAGAGUAAGGCCCCAUUCGGUGCAAAGGUUUGUAAAAUCUUGGAUACCAUAAAAUGGAUGGAUGUCAUGGGGAUGGAAACUCUGGAAUGAGAAUCCAUUGGCAAACUGAAAGAAACACGUUCGGUGAAAGCAUGUGAAGGCACAUGAAACAUAGAACCCACAGGAAACAUAGGACCCAAUAGUAUACCUUUUUGCCAGUUUUUUUCCUGGUCAAUGUGGUUUCCCAUGCGUGCUGCCUCCAUGUGGCAGCUGUGGGGUCUAAUAUAUAACAUGCCAAUAGUCAGAUCAACUUUCCUGCACUUUGCCUCGUGCUUCCUCCUAGAAAAUGAAUUCCUACUGGAUGUUUUUCUUCCCGUACGAACAGAGGAAGCCAUAACCUUCCUUUGGAAUGUGAAGAGCCGAAUGUUGCAGACCGAACGUAGAUUUGGGAAACUUUCCCAUGAUUUUCUGAUUCCUGCUGAUUUCCUUUAAAAUUCCUAUGCAUCGAACGCACCCUAAAGGGUACCCUAAUGUUUUUUCAAGAACAUGUGUUCGGCUAUUUCGAUGUGAUUGAUUCUGUGGGUAGAACUGAAUAUAGAUUACCAAUCCAUAUGCCGAAUCAGCAGGUUACAGAAACUCGAUUGUUCAAGUCGGUGUUGUUGGAUUGCCUUGGAGAUAUUUUCUUAUAGUAAAUCUAUAUUGUGCGAGUGAUUCUUCACCAGUUAAAUUGAUUUUUUGCAUUAUUAAUAGCAUUACUGGAAUAUUUUUUUAUUAUAUAGCACAUGCUUAUAUUUUUGCACUGAAUUUGUACAAGAGAACAGUUUUCUUGCAUGUGAAAAUGGUUAUACUGCUUUUGUGAGAUAAGACUCUUUGCGGCGAGAUUAGGUAAAACAAUUCUUCAACAAUUGUACGCCUUCAUUACUUUCCUCACUUCCUAUAGAACACAUUGUUUCUAUUAACACGGUGAAACUUAAUAGAGUAGUUAGCUGAGUUAGUUUAUUGUAAGAUAAAAUUACUAGUUUUAGCUACAAAUGUGAUACUUGACAAAUCCAUACACGAGUAAUACUCUUGCUAAAAUCCGAAGUAUCAAACCAGAAUAUAAAACUUAAAUGGAUGGUUUUAAACUUGGUAAUGAAUACUUGGUAUUGCGAGUUGAUGCUACGUUAGCAAAAUCUGGUAAGUUAAUACAACUACUAACAAAGGUCAAAAUUAUUGGCCAUGAAGCAAGAUUAAUCAUCACAUGUCCUUGAUCCUUUCUGUGUUGCUCCCCUUUCAAUUUUACUACCCUUUUUUACCUAUCUCAUUUGUUUGUUGUAGAUUGCCAAAAUAAUGAUGAUGCAUGGCUCAGAUGCUGAUUGCAAGGUCAAGAAUGGGGGCGCUAAUAGAUAGUUUCACAUUGUGUUUUAGAAUGUCAUUUUCUGUGUAAAAGUUUCAAUCAUUAUGUUUCAGAAUGGCUGAGACGUUGCUUGCAAGGUCAAGAAUCAGACUACUACUAGUUUCACAUCUUUGUACUCUUUGUAUUGUGUUCAUGUAACAUCCCAAAUUUUCAAUUUGGAAUGUUAUACAUAGUCAUCCAUGCAUAUCAUAUUUUAUUCGCAUUUCCCGGUUUUCAAAUUUGAUCUUUAUCAAAUCUUGAAAACGAGGAUUUUUGGUUUUAAUUAUUUUCUCUUCAAAAUAUUUCACACUAAAAUAUAUGAGAGGAGAUAAUAUGACUUCUCCA
rnacentral:lncRNA from 1 species